rnacentral:rRNA from 1 species
GAGUUUGAUCAUGGCUCAGGAUGAACGCUAGCGACAGGCUUAACACAUGCAAGUCGAGGGGCAGCGGGGGAGCAGCAAUGCUCCUGCCGGCGACCGGCGCACGGGUGAGUAACACGUAUGGAACCUGCCCGCAGCAGGGGGAUAAGCGGAAGAAAUUCCGUCUAAUACCGCGUAACACCGCGGAGGGGCAUCCCUCGGCGGUUAAAGAUUCAUCGGCUGCGGAUGGCCAUGCGGCGCAUUAGCUAGUCGGCGGGGUAACGGCCCACCGAGGCGACGAUGCGUAGGGGUUCUGAGAGGAAGGUCCCCCACACUGGUACUGAGACACGGACCAGACUCCUACGGGAGGCAGCAGUGAGGAAUAUUGGUCAAUGGCCGGGAGGCUGAACCAGCCAAGUCGCGUGAGGGAAGACGGCCCUACGGGUUGUAAACCUCUUUUGUCAGGGAGCAAGAGGCGGGUCGGGACCUGCUGUGAGAGUACCUGAAGAAAAAGCAUCGGCUAACUCCGUGCCAGCAGCCGCGGUAAUACGGAGGAUGCGAGCGUUAUCCGGAUUUAUUGGGUUUAAAGGGUGCGCAGGCGGAGGCACAAGUCAGCGGUAAAAUCGCGGGGCUCAACCCCGCUCCGCCGUUGAAACUGUGUCCCUUGAGUGCGCGAAGGGUAGGCGGAAUGCGUGGUGUAGCGGUGAAAUGCAUAGAUAUCACGCAGAACUCCGAUCGCGAAGGCAGCCUACCGGCGCGCGACUGACGCUCAUGCACGAAAGCGUGGGUAUCGAACAGGAUUAGAUACCCUGGUAGUCCACGCAGUAAACGAUGAAUGCUAUCUGUCCGGCCGGAAUGACGGCUGGGUGGCACAGCGAAAGCGUUAAGCAUUCCACCUGGGGAGUACGCCGGCAACGGUGAAACUCAAAGGAAUUGACGG